CUCUACGGCCAUGCCACCCUGAACAAACCCGAUCCCGUCUGAUCUCGGAAGCUAAGCAGGGUCGGGCCUGGUUAGUACUUGGAUGGGAGACCACCUAGGAAGACUAGGUGCUAUAGGCA
rnacentral:rRNA from 1 species